GCGCCCGUAGCUCAGCUGGAUAGAGUACUGCCCUCCGAAGGCAGGGUCGUGCGUUCGAAUCGCGCCGGGCGCGCCA
rnacentral:tRNA from 1 species